rnacentral:rRNA from 1 species
UACGUAGGGUGCAAGCGUUGUCCGGAAUUAUUGGGCGUAAAGAGCUUGUAGGCGGUUUGUCGCGUCUGCUGUGAAAUUUCGGGGCUCAACCCCGAACUUGCAGUGGGUACGGGCAGACUAGAGUGUGGUAGGGGAGACGUGGAAUUCCUGGUGUAGCGGUGAAAUGCGCAGAGUAUCAGGAGGAACACCGAUGGCGAAGGCAGGUCUCUGGGCCACUACUGACGCUGAGAAGCGAAAGCUGGGGAGCGAACAGG